rnacentral:piRNA from 1 species
UGCUCAUCUGGCUGGCUGGCCCUCCGUGU